rnacentral:rRNA from 1 species
AGAAUCAACGCUGGCGGCGUGCCUAACACAUGCAAGUCGAACGAGAAAGUGGAGCAAUCCAUGAGUAAAGUGGCGCACGGGUGAGUAACACGUGACUAACCUACCCUUGAGUGGGGAAUGACUUCGGGAAACCGAGGCUAAUACCGCAUAACACCUACGGGUCAAAGGAGCAAUUCGCUUAAGGAGGGGGUCGCGGCAGAUUAGUUAGUUGGUAGGGUAAUGGCCUACCAAGACGGUGAUCUGUA